rnacentral:lncRNA from 1 species
CCUCAUCUUUGCUUUACAUCAAGAGGGAGCUGGUUACCUAAUGCCCCCCCUCCAGAAAUUAUUGAUGUGCAAAAUGCAAUUUCCCUAUCUGCUGUUAGUCUGGGGUCUCAUCCCCUCAUAUUCCUUUUGUCUUACAGCAGGGGGUACUUGGGACUGUUAAUGCGCAUAAUUGCAAUUAUGGUCUUUUCCAUUAAAUUAAGAUCCCAACUGCUCACACCCUCUUAGCAUUACAGUAGAGGGUGCUAAUCACAAGGACAUUUCUUUUGUACUGUUAAUGUGCUACUUGCAUUUGUCCCUCUUCCUGUGCACUAAAGGCCCCACUCACUUCCCUAGUGUUCAGCAGUGGAUGACCUCUAGUCAAGACCUUUGCACUAGGAUAGUUAAUGUGAACCAUGGCAACUGAUCACAACAAUGUCUUUCAGAUCAGAUCCAUUUUAUCCUCCUUGUUUUACAGCAAGGGAUAUUAAUUACCUAUGUUACCUUUCCCUGGGACUAUGAAUGUGCAAAAUUCCAAUGUUCAUGGUCUCUCCCUUUAAACCUAUAUUCUACUCCUUUUACAUUACAGAAAGGGAUGCUGGCAACCCAGAGUCCUUCUCUUGGGACUCUUAAUGUGUAUUUCUAAUUGUCCAUGACUCUUAAUGUGCAUAUUUUCAAUUGUCUAAGACAUUUCAAAUGUCUAAUUGAUUAGAACUGAGUCUUUUAUAUCAAGCUAAUAUCUAGCUUUUAUAUCAAGCUAAUAUCUUGACUUCUCAGCAUCAUAGAAGGGGGUACUGAUUUCCUAAAGUCUUUCUUGAACUUCUAUUAUGCAAAAUUGCCCUGAGGCCGGGUGUGGUGGCUCACACCUGUAAUCCCAGCACUUUGGGAGGCUGAGGUGGGAAGAUCCCUUACUGCCAGGAGUUUGAGACCAGCCUGGCCAACAUUAAAAAAAAAAAAAAGUAAGACAGUUGCCCUGGAAUCCCAUCCCCCUCACACCUCCUUGGCAAAGCAGCAGGAGUGCUAACUAGCUAGUGCUUCUUAUACUGCUUAAAUGCGCAUAAUUAACAGUAGUUGAUGUGCCCCUAUGUUAGAGUAGAAUCCCGCUUCCUUGCUCCAUUUGCAUUACUGCAGGAGCUUCUAACUAGCCUGAAUUCACUCUCUUGGACUGUUAAUGUGCAUACUUAUAUUUGCUGCUGUACUUUUUUACCAUGUAAGGACCCCACCCACUGUAUUUACAUCCCAGCUGGAAGUACCUACUACUUAAGACCCUUAGACUAGUAAAGUUAGCGUGCAUAAUCUUAGUUGUUAUAUACACAUUUUCAGUUGCAUACAGUUGUGCCUUUUAUCAGGACUCCUGUACUUAUCAAAGCAGAGAGUGCUAAUCAACAUUAAGCCCUUCUCUUCGAACUGUAGAUGGCAUGUAAUUGCAGUUGUCAAUGGUCCUUCAAUUAGACUUGGGUUUCUGACCUAUCACACCCUCUUUGCUUUAUUGCAUGGGGUACUAUUCACUUAAGGCCCCUUUCUCAAACUGUUAAUGUGCCUAAUGACAAUUACAUCAGUAUCCUUCCUUUUGAAGGACAGCAUGGUUGGUGACACCUAAGGCCCCAUUUCUUGGCCUCCCAAUAUGUGUGAUUGUAUUUGUCGAGGUUGCUAUGCACUAGAGAAGGAAAGUGCUCCCCUCAUCCCCACUUUUCCCUUCCAGCAGGAAGUGCCCACCCCAUAAGACCCUUUUAUUUGGACAGUCAAGGUGCACAAUUCUAAGUGACCGCAGCCAUGCACCUUGGUCAAUAAUGUGUGUAACUGCACACGGCCUAUCUCAUCUGAAUAAGGCCUUACUCUCAGACCCCUUUUGCAGUACAGCAGGGGUGCUGAUAACCAAGGCCCAUUUUCCUGGCCUGUUAUGUGUGUGAUUAUAUUUGUCCAGGUUUCUGUGUACUAGACAAGGAAGCCUCCUCUGCCCCAUCCCAUCUACGCAUAAUCUUUCUUUUCCUCCCAGCAGGGAGUGCUCACUCCAUAAGACCCUUACAUUUGGACAAUCAAGGUGCACAAUUGUAAAGUGACCACAACCAUGCAUCUUGGAAAUUAUGUGCAUAACUGCACAUGGCUUAUCCUAUUUGAAUAAAGUCCUACUCUCAGACCCCCUUUGCAGUAUAGCUGGGGUGCUGAUCACUGAGGCCUCUUUGCUUGGCUUGUCUAUAUUCUUGUGUACUAGAUAAGGGCACCUUCUCAUGGACUCCCUUUGCUUUUCAACAAGGAGUACCCACUACUUUUUAAGAUUCUUAUAUUUGUCCAAAGUACAUGGUUUUAAUUGACCACAACAAUGUCCCUUGGACAUUAAUGUACGUAAUCACCACAUGGUUCAUCCUAAUUAAACAAGGUUCUACCCUCUCACCCUCCAUUUGCAGUAUACCAGGGUUGCUGACCCCCUAAGUCCCCUUUUCUUGGCUUGUUGACAUGCAUAAUUGCAUUUAUGUGGGUUCUUGUGCCCUAGACAAGGAUGCCCCACCUCUUUUCAAUAGUGGGUGCCCACUCCUUAUGAUCUUUACAUUUGAACAGUUAAUGUGAAUAAUUGCAGUUGUCUACAACCCUAUCACUUCUAGGACCAUUAUACCUCUUUUGCAUUACUGUGGGGUAUACUGUUUCCCUCCAAGGCCCCUUCUGGUGGACUAUCAACAUAUAAUUGAAAUUUUCUUUUGUCUUUGUCAGUAGAUUAAGGUCAUACCCCAUCACCUUUCCUUUGUAGUACAGCAGGGUGUCCUGAUCAACCAAAGUCCUGUUGUUUUGGACUGUUAAUAUGUGCAAUUACAUUUGCUCCUGAUCUGUGCACUAGAUAAGGAUCCUACCUACUUUCUUAGCGUUUUUAGCAGGUAGUGGCCACUACUCAAGACUGUCACUUGGAAUGUUCAUGUGCACAAACUCAAUUCUCUAAGCAUGUUCCUGUACCACCUUUGCUUUAGAGCAGGGGGAUGAUAUUCACUAAGUGCCCCUUCUUUUGGACUUAAUAUGCAUUAAUGCAAUUGUCCACCUCUUCUUUUAGACUAAGAGUUGAUCUCCACAUACUCCCCUUGCAUCAGGGGCAUGUUAAUUAUGAAUGAACCCUUUUCUUUUAAUAUUAAUGUCAUAAUUGUAUUUGUGGACCUGUGUAGGAGAAAAAGACCCUAUGUUCCUCCCAUUACCCUUUGGAUUGCUGCUGAGAAGUGUUAACUACUCAUAAUCUCAGCUCUUGGACAAUUAAUAGCAUUAAUAACAAUUAUCAAGGGCACUGAUCAUUAGAUAAGACUCCUGCCUCCUCGUUGCUUACAUCGGGGGUACUGACCCACUAAGGCCCCUUGUACUGUUAAUGUGAAUAUUUGCAAUUAUAUAUGUCUCCUUCUGUUAGAGUGGGAUAUUAUGCCCUAGUAUCCCCUUUGCAUUACUGCAGGGGCUGCUGACUACUCAAAACUUCUCCUGGGACUGUUAAUAGGCACAAUGGCAGUUAUCAAUGGUUUUCUCCCUCCCUGACCUUGUUAAGCAAGCGCCCCACCCCACCCUUAGUUUCCCAUGGCAUAAUAAAGUAUAAGCAUUGGAGUAUUCCAUGCACUUUUCUAUCAAACAGUGGUCCAUACUCCCACCCUUUUGCAUUGCGCCAGUGUGUAAAAUCACAGGUAGCCAUGGUGUCAUGCUUUAUAUACGAAGUCUUCCCUCUCUCUGCCCCUUGUGUGCCCUUGGCCCCUUUUUACAGACUAUUGCUCACAAUCUCAGGUGUCCAUAUAUGCAGCUAUUAGGUAAGAUUGUGCUGUCUCCCUCUUCCCUUCCCUCUGCCCUGCCCCUUUUGCCUCUUUGCUGGGUAAUGUUGACCGGACAAGGCCCUUUCUCUUGGACUUAAACAAUUCUCAGUUGCACUUUCCUUGGUCCCACCCAUUAUACAUGAACCCCUCUACUUCCUUUCGCAUUGCUUCUGAGUAUGCUGACUACCCAAAGCCCCUUCUGUGUUAUUAAUAAACACAGUACUGAUUGUCCCAUUUUUCAGCCCAUCAGUCCAAGAUCUCCCUACCACUUUGGUGUGUUGGUGCAGUGUUGACUAUGAAAAGCAGGCCUGAACUAGGUGGAUAAGCCUUCACUCAUUUUCUUUCAUUUAUUAAUGAUCCUAGUUUCAAUUAUUGUCAGAUUCUGGGGACAAGAACCAUUCUUGCCCACCUGUGUUACUGCUUUACUGUGCAAAAUACUGAAGGCAAGUCAGACCCAGGGAGCUGGAUUGCCAUCCUUUAUUUUGUGUUUCCAGUAUACACUAUCAAAUUGUCUCCCCAGGAAGGAAGGUUGGCACUUUCUCUGCAUUCUUCUUUCCAGAGCAGAUUGCCUGGUUAAGAAUCUCUUGUUGUCCCCUUUGUAUAUUGUUAUUGUAAAGUGCCAAAUGCCAGGAUACAGCCAGAAAAAUUGCUUAUAUUAUUAUUAAAAAAAUUUUUUUAAGAAAGACAUCUGGAUUGUAGGGUGGACUCGAUAACCUGGUCAUUAUUUUUUUGAAGCCAAAAUAUCCAUUUAUACUAUGUACCUGGU